GUUGAUUCCGAUUCUCAGCUUAUCAUAAGCAGUAGGAAAGCUUCAUUAGUUUCAAAGUCACACUGAAAAGACUAAUAAAGGCUUUUUAGGAGGGCCAAAGUAUGGUUGGAAGGAAAGAUGAAAAUAUAGGGGAAGAGGAAAGAGAGAAAAUGAGACUAAAAGGAGAGAAAAUGUAGAUAAACAAGGGUGUUGGCACCAACUGUUUCCAUCAUGUCUCUCCUGAUGCUUAAUCUUAGGUAGGGUUUCAGAGUGACAAGGACCUGUUACUCAGAAUUCCCAUCCUGAGUCAUAAACAAGGUGGAGGCAGAAUCGUGUUGGUGCUCGCGUCUUCUGCAGAGGUCACACAGGAGGCUUGGCAGAGAGGACACUCUGGGCCAGUCCACAAAGUUUAUUAUUAAGGUGCUUAGACUCUAAAUCCCAUUGGAGAAUCCCUGUGCUGAUGCACCAGGACAGACGACAAGCAUGUGAACUUGGGAGUCCAGCCUAUCCAACACCAAGGGCAAACUUUCCUGUGCCCCAGUGAUAUUGCCAAAUUAAGUCCUUGGUGAGAGAAAUUCAGAACCACCAUCCUGGCAGAGUGAAGUGGUAAAGGUGGAAAAAGUAAGCUUCAACUAGUGGAUCAUGUCGCCAGUAGAAACCAUAAACCACAGAGGAGAGGAAGCCGGUAGUUUGAAGAUACAG
rnacentral:lncRNA from 1 species